rnacentral:rRNA from 1 species
CAGUCGCCACGGUAACACCAGCACCUCGAGUGGUCAGGAGGUUUAUUGGGCCUAAAGCAUCCGUAGCCGGUUGCAUAAGUUUUCGGUUAAAUCUAUGCGCUUAACGUAUAGGCCGCCGAAAAUACUGUGCAGCUAGGGAGUGGGAGAGGUACACGGUACUCGAUAGGAAGGGGUAAAAUCCUUUGAUCUAUUGAUGACCACCUGUGGCGAAGGCGGUGUACCAGAACACGUUCGACGGUGAGGGAUGAAAGCUGGGGGAGCAAACCGGAUUAGAUACCCCUGUAGUCCCUGUCUCUUAUAC